rnacentral:rRNA from 1 species
GACGAACGCUGGCGGCGUGCUUAACACAUGCAAGUCGAACGGAAAGGCCCCCUUGUGGGGUACUCGAGUGGCGAACGGGGGAGUAACACGUGAGGAACCUACCCUUGACUUUGGGAUAACUUCAGGAAACUGGGGCGAAUACCGGAUAGGAGCUGCUGCUGCAGGGUGGGGGUGGGAAAGUUUCGGCGGUUGGGGAUGGACUCGCGGCUUAUCAGCUUGUUGGUGGGGUAGUGGCUCACCAAGGCUUUGACGGGUAGCCGGCCUGAGAGGGUGACCGGCCACAUUGGGACUGAGAUACGGCCCAGACUCCUACGGGAGGCAGCAGUGGGGAAUAUUGCACAAUGGGCGGAAGCCUGAUGCAGCAACGCCGCGUGCGGGAUGACGGCCUUCGGGUUGUAAACCGCUUUCGCCUGUGACGAAGCGUGAGUGACGGUAAUGGGUAAAGAAGCACCGGCUAACUACGUG